rnacentral:rRNA from 1 species
ACGGGAGGCAGCAGUGGGGAAUAUUGCACGAUGGGGGAAACCCUGAUGCAGCGACGCCGCGUGAGUGAAGAAGUAUUUCGGUAUGUAAAGCUCUAUCAGCAGGGAAGAUAAUGACGGUACCUGACCAAGAAGCACCGGCUAAAUACGUGCCAGCAGCCGCGGUAAUACGUAUGGUGCAAGCGUUAUCCGGAUUUACUGGGUGUAAAGGGAGCGUAGACGGCUGUGUAAGUCUGAAGUGAAAGCCCCGGGCUCAACUCGGGAACUGCUUUGGAAACUAUAUAGCUAGAGUGCAGGAGAGGUAAGUGGAAUUCCUAGUGUAGCGGUGAAAUGCUUAGAUAUUAGGAGGAACACCAGUGGCGAAGGCGGCUUACUGGACUGUAACUGACGUUGAGGCUCGAAAGCGUGGGGAGCAAACAGGAUUAGAUACCCUGGUA